UACAGAGGGUGCAAGCGUUAAUCGGAGUUACUGGGCGUAAAGGGCGCGUAGGCGGUCAUGCAAGUGAGAUGUGAAAUCCCCGGGCUUAACCUGGGAACUGCAUUUUAGACUGUGUGACUGGAGUACUGUAGAGGAUAGUGGAAUUUCCGGUGUAGCGGUGAAAUGCGUAGAGAUCGGAAGGAACACCAGUGGCGAAGGCGACUGUCUGGACAGAUACUGACGCUGAGGCGGCGAAAAGCGUGGGGAGCAAACAGGG
rnacentral:rRNA from 1 species